UCAGCUGCAGAUCGGUGGGGGUCUGACACCCGGGACCCCUGCCAAUCAGCUGUUUGAGAAGGCAGCGGCGCCAUGGCCUUCUCACUGUUUACCGCUGGCCCAGUGAUGUCACGACUUGUAUCAACUAGUGUGGGUGGGGAUAAGCUCUGGUCACUUGAGAGGACCUUACCCCCGCCCACGCUAGUUGAUACUAGUCGUGAAGUCAGUGGGCUGGUGGUAAACAGUGAGAAGGACGUGGUGCUACUGGAGCGGAUGAUGUAUCAUCUGGAUAGAUCAGUUAAAACAAACUGCAGAACCUCCUCAAGUGUUCCAGCAAAAUGGAGCCCGCUUUCUGGUCUGUGCAUGAGCAGACCUUUUACAAAUGCAAAAAAUACCGGCUCUGUUUUUCCAGCUGACACCAGAGACACGUGUCCAGUAUUGCAAUGCAUUUGUGUCUGGAUUGAGGGAUCUGACAGGUAGCUCCGGCGAUGGCACUGCCUGCCGGAAUCCUCUGCAGCAACUGUGAAAGUAGCCUAAAAAGGAUUAAUAUUUUGACAACGUGUGAUCAGUCGGUGUCAAUCAUUGGCUCCAUUCUAGUCUAUGUCUUGUCUGUCCCUGCUACCGCAGUUCCUACAUAUCCUGUUAGGCCCUGGGAUAGAGGACAGACAACCACACAUCAAUAGCCUAUCCUAAAA